UCCUCCUAAUGUGGCAUGAUGCAGAGGUUUGGAGUUGUUUUGGACUUCUUCAGGACUUCUCUUUGGCUGAGACUUAAAAGAACAUUUUAAGUCCUGAUAAGACAAAUCAUUUAAGUACCUUUAAUAAUCACAACUGUUAUAAAUGAUCAAUGAGUCAAUAAAAACAACUCCAUUAAGGUCAUCAAUAUAGUAAAGAAAUAUUGCAAAAGGGCCCAUAUGUAUCCUAAAACUCUACUUUCCUUGCACUGCAGUCUUUGUCAGAUUAUUGUCAAAUUCUCUUUCUUUCUUCUGCUAAAAGUGUGAAUGCUUGGAGGGGGAAAAAUACAUCUAGCCUAAAAAUAAAAAAAAAACAAAAAUAAAAAAUAAAAAAAACACAGGCAGUAAGCAGUUUUAAACCGGGGGAAGAGUGAGUCAGUUCAACUCAAUCUGAUGCUGUUUCAUUGUGGUUGAACACAAAAGGCCCAGGUGAUGCUCUGUAAUGCAGCACACUGUAAGCAAAAGCCAGCAGAUUGCAUUAGGGCCCCGCCUGAUGCUGUGGCCCGUCACAGAGCAAGGAUUAACUCUCCUUUAUCAGCUUUUAUCAGCUAACUGCAUGGCUGGGGCUUUUUUAACUCUCAGUCCUCUCUAUUUCUGUGUUGUCAUCUUUUUGCAAUAGAGGCAAACACUGCAGGGUUUCCAUGUAAAAGCUUUCAGCUUAAAGGCUGAUGACAGAUGUUGUAAGAGUAUGCAUUUCGGCAUCACAACAAAAGAAACACAGCCUUCAGGAGGGGGAGAUAUUUCUCAUACCGAAUAAUGCAUCGCUCAUAAAGCUUCAGCAACCAAGCAUGGACCAGGACAACAAAUGUACGGUCUGUAGGCUCAGUAUUAUCACUUCAUAUACAGCAGGGACAAACUGAUUGAAGCAGUAUAUGUUUGUGGCUUCAGGGCCUAGAUAAGUGGGAGAGAAACACAGUUGGGGAUGUUUAGGAACACAAAGUAAACCUCUGCAGUCUCUUUGCACCCUUUUAUGCAAAUGACAAAGGCAGAACCAAAAGAAGGGGUGUUGGGCAGUUGUAGGCGGAAGGGGAGAGGGGGAGCCCUUAUCUCUCACAGAAGAAAUAAUAAGGAGACGACCAGCAAACAGCCAAAAUCAAAGAACUGCCUCCUUACAGAAGAUGAGGACAAUGGCAGACAAAAAGAGGCGUUACCAGCUCAGCCUGCCGCCGCCUGCUGUUGCGACUCUUUUCAGACCGGUGCGCAGGAAGGUUGCAGGAACAGAGGUGACACACAGGGAUUUUAGGAGGAACAUUACGACCACACUGCACCUCCAGCGGUCUGCCGGUCCAGGAGGAGAACAAAUCGACGUCACUAAACAAGGCUACAUCCAUCCAUGGAGGUCUGACCGGACACAUCCCUCCUGAGGUGUCCGAGCUGCUGCCUGACCCAGCCCGCCUCACAGAAAACGAGGAGCCCGGUGAUAUUUUUCCACACUGUAUCAGACUAUAAAGAUAUUAAGUAUAUUAUUGCAUUCACUCGUAUGUAGAUAGCAGCUGACAAGGUUUAAACACAGACAGACAAUGUCGUGUUAAAUAUAAUAUAUUUUUAUUAGAAGAUAAUUUAGUACAUUAAGGAGAAUUCCUCUGAAAAUGUCAUGUCUUCUUUUCCUGAGUAGCUAUGUUUCUUUUUUGCCAUGUGAUGAGGUUUUUAAACUUUAUUUAGGCAAGGCAGGUACUAGUGUGUGUAAAAUAUAUAUAUGUAUAUAUAUAUUAGUAUGUUAAAAAAAACAAACAAACAUCAGAAACAUGUAAGAUGAAGGGGUAAGAAAACAGAGAAUGCAGAAGGCAUAGGGGAAAUAGCCAAGGGAAAUAUGCACAUUUUACCUUGAAUCCCGAUUUAAGUCACAAAUUUGAUAUGAAAAAUACAACAACAACCUGACAACCUCACAGCUUGUGAGCAUCAGACUGGAACACAGACAUUAACAGUGUAGCAUCGUGUAUGCAAAACAAGCCCCAGGGGAGAACCUCAGUAUUGCCCAAACCCAUCUUUAUCUGAUUCAGUUCCCGGCAGUAUCCUCGCCCUGUGGCCACAAACCAUUACUGGAAGGAACUUGUUCUUCUUGUUUGGCCUAACUCUCUUUUAGGCCUUCAGUAUCACAAUUGUGAAAUUGAAAAAUGAAAAAUGGGAAGCGGUAGGACUCAGUUUCGUUUAGUAAAUAUCUAAGUGCAUGAAGUGUAACGACAGCAAGAACUCAUAGUUGAGAACAGCAGAGGAUGUGCUCCCUCAGGUAAUGUUUUUGGUUGACAUGAAAAGAAUGUGAAGUAAGCUAUUAAAGUAGACUAAUAAAAUCCUAAAAUCAGACCUACAACUUAUAAUUUAUCUAAAGCACCUUAGUGUUCACAGAUUCACAACCACCUAAUUUCUACUGCAACAUAAUGUCAUGGCAUGGCUUUGGUAAACUGACAACAUGACAUUGACAGUACUAGGGAUGCACCAAUCAAACUUUUCUCUCUCCCGUUAUCUACUGAUGCCGAUCCAAUUCCACUGCUUUCUUUUUCCCCAAAUUUAAAAUGUGUAUACCUCACUGCAUAAAAUUUAUUGGAAUCGUUUUCAUGUAAGGUAAGGAGUGAGUUGGCUGCAUGCCAUGACUUAACAAAUCUAACCGAUAACAGAAAAACUGAAUUUUAUAAUGACAUUGACCAAAAAAAAACCAAAAAAACAGUAUUGUCUUGGCCAAUACCUGAUCCGCUUAAUAAGAUCAAUAUCAGGGCCGAUACUAAUCUGGUGUAUUGGAUUGGUGCAUCCCUAAUAGUACUACAAAGAAAAUUAUAGGAGCAUGUUCAGAUCUAUCAAUUUAUUCUCAGUAUCAUGUAGACAUGAAAUCCUUUACAAAAGUAAAUAAUCAAAUUACUUUCAAGAAUCUCAAACAACACAAACCCUUUAGCAGCAUGGUCAUGGAUGUAGCAGAUAUUUUUAUCAACUAUUAAAAGGUUUGUUGGGAAAACAGUAAUAAAUUAUCAAUCUGACCUGUGUGUGUUUUGUAACAAGAGAAAACAUGCCUAACCUUUUACUGCAAGUGUGUUGAGUAAACAGCGGAUACUAUCA